GUCCUAACAGAAAGGGAAUAUUCUUAGUAAUGGCAGACAAGGAUCAAGGACUAUUCCCCUGAUAUCCAGCUCAGCAAUUCCAGCUCAUCAUGGCUCCUCUCAACGGGUGUUAACGGCUAGUGAAGUCCUUCAGGCAACAAACACUUGAACCCCCAGAAGACUAGGUUAAUAGGAUAUUAGAUAGCAAAAUUAAGUUACUUAACAGGAUUGAUUCAGAUUUAUGAGGAAUAUGUCCAACAAAGACAGGACCUAUAGGUUGCUCACAAAUCUAUACAAGAAUUUAUCUGAAGUCACUGUAUUCACAAGUUGUUGACUGAGAAUACGGCCAUAUACGAAUAGCAUUGCUGUGAAGAAAUAAUGCCUGGACAUUGCAUUUAGAAUCAUAUCUUUGUGAAACACUAUGUAUUAAACACUUCUCAUAUGCACAUGAUCAUUUAGAAAUUACAGUAGCAUGAAUACUUACCAGUUCAAAAACUUAAACUUAGGGAGACGUUUAUCUUGAGUUGCUCUUCUAAGUAGAUUGAAGAGCUCACUGGCCAUAAAUAUUUGGAUAACCACAACCAUGGCCCAGAUGUAAAGAUGACCCAAGUAUAUGAUUAGUGAAACACUUGCUAGCAUCCACAGAGAUGAGUAUGCACGGAUCCACAUUGAUUUGUAUUUGGAUUUAUCAUUGACAAGUAAAUUGUUUCCAUUUGAUUUGCUUAUCU